rnacentral:rRNA from 1 species
UACGUAGGGGGCAAGCGUUGUCCGGAUUUAUUGGGCGUAAAGAGCGUGUAGGCGCCAGACAGGUCCGUUGUGAAAACUGGAGGCUUAACCUUCAGACGUCGAUGGAAACCGUCUGGCUAGAGUCCGGAAGAGGAGAGUGGAAUUCCUGGUGUAGAGGUGAAAUUCGUAGAUAUCUGGAGGAACACCGGUGGCGAAGGCGGCAUCCUGGACCGGCAUUGACGCUGAGGCGCGAAAGCCAGGGGAGCAAACGGGAUAGAA